rnacentral:rRNA from 1 species
AACGAACGCUGGCGGCAUGCCUAAUACAUGCAAGUCGAACGAGCACUUCGGGUCCUGUGGCGCAUGGGUUUGUAAGGCGAGGGAACCUGCACACAGGUUUGGAAUAACUCUCAGAAAGGGGUGCUAAUACCGGACAAUGUCUUCGGCCCAAGGAUUUAUUGCCCUUGUUUGGGCCAGCGUUGAAUAAGCUAGUUGGUAGGGUAAAAGCCUACUACGGCGACGAUCCAUAACUGGUUUGAGAGGCAGAUCAGCAACACUGGGACUAGGACACGGCCCGGACUCCUACGGGAGGCGGGAGUGGGGAACAGAGGACAGUGGGCGAAAGCCUGAUCCACCAAGGCCGCUUGAGUGAUGUAAGCCUUAAGGUUGUAAAGCGCUAGUACCCGGGAUGAUAAUGACAGUACCGAGAGAAUAAGCUCCGGCUAACUCCGUG